UACAGAGGGGGCAAGCGUUGUUCGGAAUUACUGGGCGUAAAGGGCGCGUAGGCGGCCUUCUAAGUCAGACGUGAAAUCCCUCGGCUUAACCGGGGAACUGCGUCUGAUACUGGAUGGCUUGAGUUCGGGAGAGGGAUGCGGAAUUCCAGGUGUAGCGGUGAAAUGCGUAGAUAUCUGGAGGAACACCGGUGGCGAAGGCGGCAUCCUGGACCGACACUGACACUGAGGAGCGAAAGCCAGGGGAGCAAACGGG
rnacentral:rRNA from 1 species